rnacentral:rRNA from 1 species
ACUAUCAUUAACUGAAUCCAUAGGUUAAUGAGGCGAACCGGGGGAACUGAAACAUCUAAGUACCCCGAGGAAAAGAAAUCAACCGAGAUUCCCCCAGUAGCGGCGAGCGAACGGGGAGCAGCCCAGAGCCUGAAUCAGUGUGUGUGUUAGUGGAAGCGUCUGGAAAGGCGCGCGAUACAGGGUGACAGCCCCGUACACAAAAAUGCACAUGCUGUGAGCUCGAUGAGUAGGGCGGGACACGUGGUAUCCUGUCUGAAUAUGGGGGGACCAUCCUCCAAGGCUAAAUACUCCUGACUGACCGAUAGUGAACCAGUACCGUGAGGGAAAGGCGAAAAGAACCCCGGCGAGGGGAGUGAAAAAGAACCUGAAACCGUGUACGUACAAGCAGUGGGAGCACGCUUAGGCGUGUGACUGCGUACCUUUUGUAUAAUGGGUCAGCGACUUAUAUUCUGUAGCAAGGUUAACCGAAUAGGGGAGCCGAAGGGAAACCGAGUCUUAACUGGGCGUUAAGUUGCAGGGUAUAGACCCGAAACCCGGUGAUCUAGCCAUGGGCAGGUUGAAGGUUGGGUAACACUAACUGGAGGACCGAACCGACUAAUGUUGAAAAAUUAGCGGAUGACUUGUGGCUGGGGGUGAAAGGCCAAUCAAACCGGGAGAUAGCUGGUUCUCCCCGAAAGCUAUUUAGGUAGCGCCUCGUGAAUUCAUCUCCGGGGGUAGAGCACUGUUUCGGCAAGGGGGUCAUCCCGACUUACCAACCCGAUGCAAACUGCGAAUACCGGAGAAUGUUAUCACGGGAGACACACGGCGGGUGCUAACGUCCGUCGUGAAGAGGGAAACAACCCAGACCGCCAGCUAAGGUCCCAAAGUCAUGGUUAAGUGGGAAACGAUGUGGGAAGGCCCAGACAGCCAGGAUGUUGGCUUAGAAGCAGCCAUCAUUUAAAGAAAGCGUAAUAGCUCACUGGUCGAGUCGGCCUGCGCGGAAGAUGUAACGGGGCUAAACCAUGCACCGAAGCUGCGGCAGCGACGCUUAUGCGUUGUUGGGUAGGGGAGCGUUCUGUAAGCCUGCGAAGGUGUGCUGUGAGGCAUGCUGGAGGUAUCAGAAGUGCGAAUGCUGACAUAAGUAACGAUAAAGCGGGUGAAAAGCCCGCUCGCCGGAAGACCAAGGGUUCCUGUCCAACGUUAAUCGGGGCAGGGUGAGUCGACCCCUAAGGCGAGGCCGAAAGGCGUAGUCGAUGGGAAACAGGUUAAUAUUCCUGUACUUGGUGUUACUGCGAAGGGGGGACGGAGAAGGCUAUGUUGGCCGGGCGACGGUUGUCCCGGUUUAAGCGUGUAGGCUGGUUUUCCAGGCAAAUCCGGAAAAUCAAGGCUGAGGCGUGAUGACGAGGCACUACGGUGCUGAAGCAACAAAUGCCCUGCUUCCAGGAAAAGCCUCUAAGCAUCAGGUAACAUCAAAUCGUACCCCAAACCGACACAGGUGGUCAGGUAGAGAAUACCAAGGCGCUUGAGAGAACUCGGGUGAAGGAACUAGGCAAAAUGGUGCCGUAACUUCGGGAGAAGGCACGCUGAUAUGUAGGUGAAGUCCCUCGCGGAUGGAGCUGAAAUCAGUCGAAGAUACCAGCUGGCUGCAACUGUUUAUUAAAAACACAGCACUGUGCAAACACGAAAGUGGACGUAUACGGUGUGACGCCUGCCCGGUGCCGGAAGGUUAAUUGAUGGGGUUAGCGCAAGCGAAGCUCUUGAUCGAAGCCCCGGUAAACGGCGGCCGUAACUAUAACGGUCCUAAGGUAGCGAAAUUCCUUGUCGGGUAAGUUCCGACCUGCACGAAUGGCGUAAUGAUGGCCAGGCUGUCUCCACCCGAGACUCAGUGAAAUUGAACUCGCUGUGAAGAUGCAGUGUACCCGCGGCAAGACGGAAAGACCCCGUGAACCUUUACUAUAGCUUGACACUGAACAUUGAGCCUUGAUGUGUAGGAUAGGUGGGAGGCUUUGAAGUGUGGACGCCAGUCUGCAUGGAGCCGACCUUGAAAUACCACCCUUUAAUGUUUGAUGUUCUAACGUUGACCCGUAAUCCGGGUUGCGGACAGUGUCUGGUGGGUAGUUUGACUGGGGCGGUCUCCUCCUAAAGAGUAACGGAGGAGCACGAAGGUUGGCUAAUCCUGGUCGGACAUCAGGAGGUUAGUGCAAUGGCAUAAGCCAGCUUGACUGCGAGCGUGACGGCGCGAGCAGGUGCGAAAGCAGGUCAUAGUGAUCCGGUGGUUCUGAAUGGAAGGGCCAUCGCUCAACGGAUAAAAGGUACUCCGGGGAUAACAGGCUGAUACCGCCCAAGAGUUCAUAUCGACGGCGGUGUUUGGCACCUCGAUGUCGGCUCAUCACAUCCUGGGGCUGAAGUAGGUCCCAAGGGUAUGGCUGUUCGCCAUUUAAAGUGGUACGCGAGCUGGGUUUAGAACGUCGUGAGACAGUUCGGUCCCUAUCUGCCGUGGGCGCUGGAGAACUGAGGGGGGCUGCUCCUAGUACGAGAGGACCGGAGUGGACGCAUCACUGGUGUUCGGGUUGUCAUGCCAAUGGCACUGCCCGGUAGCUAAAUGCGGAAGAGAUAAGUGCUGAAAGCAUCUAAGCACGAAACUUGCCCCGAGAUGAGUUCUCCCUGACUCCUUGA